GGGUCUGUAGCUCAGUUGGUUAGAGCGCUGCCCUGUCACGGCAGAGGUCACGGGUUCGAGUCCCGCCAGUCCCGCCA
rnacentral:tRNA from 1 species